rnacentral:rRNA from 1 species
CCUACGGGGGGCAGCAGUUAGGAAACUUUUGCAAUACACGCAAGUGUGACAAAGCAAGCCAAAGUGAUUUUUUCUAUUAUGUUAAAAUCUUUUACGGGAUGUAAAAAAUCCUGAGAAUAAGGACCGGGCAAGACUGGUGCCAGCCGCCGCGGUAAUCCCAGCGGUCCAAGUCGCAGCCACAAUUAUUGGGUCUAAAACAUCCGUAGCUCGCUUGGUAAGUUUCGUGUGAAAUCUGGCCUCUUAAGGGUCGGGCGUGCACGAAAUACUGCCGAGCUAGAGACCGGGAGGCGUAGGAAGUACAGUCAGGGUAGCGGUAAAAUGCGUUGAUCCUUACUGGACUCACAGUCGCGAAGGCGUCCUACGAGAACGGAUCUGACAGUGAGGGAUGAAGGCUAGGGGCGCAAAGUGGAUUAGAUACCCCGGUAGUC